CGAUUAUUUUUUUUUUUGUUCAAUUUUUCUUGUGAUAGAGUAAUUGGAUUCUGAUAAUUGUCAAUCUAAUUGCGUGAAUCAUUCGAAUUAUGAAGGAAACAGAAGUAAAUUCGUAGAAUUCGAAUUUUAGGUGAUUGAAAAAAACUUCAAAGUUCUUGUUUUAGGGAUGAAUUCAUCGAUUGUUUGUAUGUAUAUAUUUAAGCCGAAUUAUUGCAGUAAGUUCAAUCAAUUACCCUUUAUUUUUUCUAAUUUACUUUUAUUUCAAUUGUAAUCAAAAUUAUUAUAGCCAAAUUAAUAUUAUCUAAGUUCAAGUUAGAACCCUAAUCAGAUUUUUUUUUUUUUUUUUUUAAAAAAAAAGGAACAAAGAGAUAGUACUUAAAAAAGUGAGAUAAACAUACAAUUUUUGGUUUUGGUUUAGUGGUGGUAAUAUAUGUUGUUGGUAGAAUUGAUGAGGAUAUGGCUGAGCCCAUUUUGUGAAUGAGGUUCGUUUAAAAACAAAAUGUUUGGAUUUUUGUGUUUCCAUCUGCUUUUGAAUAAGAUUUAGAGCCUACAUAGACUUGCUAUUUUGCCUCUUCGUUGGAUGAAUAUUCAUCUGCAUUUAAGGUCAAACAAAAUUAGAUAUAGAGUUUGAUGCCCAAUGGAACAUAAAAUGGUAAGUAGAAAGCAAAACAAAGAAGGGUUUAUAGACUAAACAUUCUACUUGAACUACCCUCUAAUAAGAAUAACUUUCAAAGAAGGGGUUUAGUCAUGUUGGUUAAUAACCAGUUGUAUUCGUUGAUCCCCUCGAUCGAUCAUUGCUCUCUAUGAUUUCAGUUCUUUAAGAAAAGUAUGUGUUUUAGCUUCUACUAAUUAUUUAUAAAUCAUAAUAUUAUAAAUUCAUGGCUUAGCUAGUAAAUUAGAGUAUAUUAGUAAGUAUUAGCAUGAAUGUAUUCUAGUUUAUUUGAAUGUAUGUAUCUCUGGUGUACAAAGGUUCCAUCUGGCAUUUCAUGAGAAUUUAUCCUUUUGAUUAUAAAGCCUGAAUAUUGGAUCACCUUUUUUUGUUUAUAAAGGUGGUCAUUAUUUCUUAAGCCUCGCUCUUUUGACCUGAAUUCUCCAUGUUUAAACGUAUAUUUGAAUGUAUCUAAUGAGAAUGAACUAGUAUUAUGUUACCUUCAACUCAUAAGCUUCUGGACAGUUUUGAAUCGGAUUAUGGUUGAUUAACAACUCAUAAGCUUCUGGACAGUUUUUGUCGUCACUAGACUCUAGCAUUAGUCAUUUAAACCUAUCUAUUUUACAUAAUAAGUGCAUAUAAACAAGUUAGUUUUUUAGAAUAUAAAUAUUUUAUUGAAAAUUAAUGGAUCAUAGAACUAACCAUCAAAUUUCCCAGUAAAGAAACUCUAAUGUCUUUACUAGGUCAGAUAUUCCUGAUUAGUUGAUCUGAAAAUGUUUUUUCCCUAAAAAGAUGACCUACUUGGCUGCAUUCUUCUAAGAUUUUGAUAGAGCAUCGGUAGAAGAUUUCAUAUUUGCUUGUUUUUGUGUCAAAUUCAUGUAAUUUAGAUUAAACAUUAUAGUGCAAAUAAGCUUUAGGAAUUAAAUUCGGAUUGCACUGCUUUAAUUUCUCCCUAAUGCUCCCUGCUUCUUGAAUGGACUCACUAGCAAACUGGACCCUAAUCACAUGCCAUUCUAAUUCAAUCUAUUAUAUUUAUACUCAGCCUCCCUCAUAUAAGGACUCUCAUACUUAAUUGAAUUUGUCUUAUACUGCUGCCAAAACAAAACAGUUACCACAGCACACACACCACACUCCUUAUUUGUCUAAAUUGGCUUGUAACUUCCUCGUGAUAGAGAUGGUGACUGUGGUAGUGAAGGAGAUGGAGAUGGUUUGGGCUGUGCUGGCGCCACUCCUGCUGGAUGGAAAGGGGACUGUUGUGUAGGUGGCUGAGAUGGUGCUUGGGUCUCUUGGCUGGGACUUGGAGCAGCAGGUGCUUGCUGAGGUGAUAAUAGGCUAAUAUGGUGCUUGGGCCACUUGGAUGGAACUGUUAUUUUAAGCAAGUUCCUCCAACAUAUUCUCAACAAAUGAUCGAUAAGCUUAGGGAAAGGUGGAUUUCAUAUGUUACCGGAUACCAUCAACCAAAUGAAAACGACAAUGAUUUAUGUGAAUUGUAGAUCAAUAUGGUAUUGUUAUAUCUAAGCAUAAUUUUUUUUUAAAAUCAUCAUUAAUUAGAAAGGUGUUUUGAUAGAACAAAUUGUUUGUAUAGAACAAAUUUUGUAUGAAUGAUUCAAUUUAAUUGUGGUUGGAUGUUAUAAAUUAUAUAUAUGAAGUACAUUUUGAUUGCU